rnacentral:lncRNA from 1 species
CGUUCCCAAAUGCUAAUAAAUAAAAGAUACACAGAACCCUAAUCUCCAAGACCCAAAUCGGCGCAAACACUGUUCUUCUUCUCCAAACAACCGAAUCCAUUCUCAAAAAUUGCCAAAAUUCAGGCGAGUGAAACCCAAACUCACAUCACACAUUUUAUUUUCUCUCCUCUUGCCAUAGCGUAACCGUUUCUGAUAGAUUCCCCCUCCCUCACAUGCUUUCUUUGAUUUUAGUUCGGAUUUUUCACUCUUCAGAUGAAAAUAAGGAAAAAUAGGGAGCGUUAGAUUGGAUUCGAGCUAAUAUACUCCCUCCAUUUGUCCCUCUUUCAUCAGAAACGGGGUAAGAAAUCAGUUUGGGGGAGGAUUUUUUGUUUAGAGGGGUUUUCGUGGAGAGAAAGAAAGAAGAUACGAGAAGACCUGAAGGUCUAUAAAAGGUGAGAACGUUUUCUUAUUCUGGGGAUUUCUUUUGGAGAAUAUUUGGGGAAAAGAUUUGAGAGAGAUUUCGGAAGAAAGUUAAAAUUAGGUUUCGAGAUUUUUCUUCUUCAUUUUUUAUUGUUCUUUUAUUUCUGGUACUAGAAUAGAAGAAAAAAAAUCACUGAAUGUUCUGCUAUUUCAUUUCUAUGUCGAUUAUUGUUUAACAUUUUUUGAAAUCUCUAGAGUCCAUCUUCUUUAUUUUGAUUCUAGAUUUUGGUUUAAAAAUGGAAGUCAUUUGAGAUGUUCGAGUCUGUUGCUGCUCGAGGGUUGAUUUUCAGCUACUAUUUGCUUUCUUUGGGUCGAUUUCAGUGUUGUAUUAAUUCAGUCUCUUAAUUCCAGGUUCAUUUCUUUUCUUCUCUUUAGUUCCCGUUGUGAAUCGAUCUCUGAAUGAACUAUAAAAUGGGGCUAAGUUUAAAGUAACAACUGAGAUUUGUGUGGUUAUCUUAGUUUCAUUUUGCUGCUAUGUUCUUAUUGUUUUCAACUUCUUCCAUGAUUUCACAUGUGUGCUAACGAAUGUCCAUAUGAUCUCUGGGCUUAUAAUUGGUUGGUUGUCGGUCGAAUAAGUUUAAAUGGCUUGUGUAUUUGUGAAUUUUCAUGCUUGUUUGCGUACUAGGUGCCAAUCAGUCGAGUUACGAGUAGUUUUCUUCAUUCCUUAGUGCUGAAAAUGUACAGACUAUUUUGACACUGGAUUUCCAAUCAGUUUGCAUUCUCUGUUUACUUGUACCUAGUCCCAGUGAUUUGUUUUCACCUUUGAAUAAGAUUAGAUCAUCUCAGCUCUAAAACACUGAUUUCUUUUAGUUAGAUAGAGAAAACUUGAUAGCUUUCCCCUUCUCUAUAGAUUCUGUGCAAAUUGUUUUACUCAAGAUGGGAUUGAAUUGGAGUUUUGUUGGUGCAUUGCUGUCUUUGAUAAGUUAGUUAUCCAUAUAGCUUUACACUCGAAGGAGCAUUGAUAUAUUGAAGAGAAAAUGGAUCCAUGAAUUAAGUUUAGCGAUUGAUUCUUGGUUCCUUGUUCAUUCUUAAAGCCACAGAUUUCUUUUAGUGUCGAAUGCAUAGCUGAUGAAUGUUUGCUUGGAUCUCGUACUACUGCAAUGUUAUCAUGAUGCGUUUUGUGCUUGGCUACUUGAAUCUGCCUAACCUUGGUAUAGCUUAAAUGUGAUGAGCCUUUAAAACAGGCCUACCUAGUCUCAUUUAAAGUUUUCUGGCAAAAUAAGUUCACUGCUCUUGUUUGAUGUUUGUUCAAAUUAAGGGAAUCUGGAUUCAAGUGUCGGAGUGUUUUUAUAAAACUGGUGCAAACCUUCAAUUGAUGUGUUGUUUCUUAUUUUUAUGAGUUCAUACCUAGGAAUGAUGAUUGUCUAUUAAGGGUUAGCAAGCCUAAGGUCUGUUACUAGAGGAAAUACGGUGAGAGGGAGGGGUGAUCGCAUGAGCAACAUUCUGGGAUUAAGAAUUUUUGGGUAAAGUUGAAAACCUUUGUGAAAAGUAAAGCACAUAUAUGAAGUUUCUCUGCAUUACUAGCUAGAAAUCAGUAGUGGCUAAUGGCAGUUAGUUUGGGCCGUGGAAUUUGUUGUUUCGCUAAUUUAAAAUAAAGGAUUUGGACCUUGUGAUGUUGGACUUGAAUGGGCCGCAACUACUUGAGUCUCGGGCUUCAGUAUUUUGGCCAAAGGGUUUUGGGCACAUGAUAACUUGUUUAUUCCAUCCAUAUUUUAUCCCUUUUUCCAACUUGCACAUAAGUCGUGUUCCUCUCAUAUAUUGUAGUUUAGCUAAUUAAAAAUCAGCGCUCGUUGAAAAGCCUUUAGGUGCGUUUAAAAUACAAUUGUGAUUGUGUAUACGUUCACAUGACAUAAUUACAAUUUAAAAACCAAUUUGGAGUAUGCGUUCAUGCAACUUCGAUCAAUUUUUGCUUAAUAAUAAUUGGUCUAAUAAAUCGCUAAUUAAUUUAGGAUUAUAUAGUUCGAGGUGCACCAUCCACAAGUCAAUCAUACAUGUCCCUCGUAUUAAUUUCAUAAUUUAGAUAUAACAAAUAACAAAUGAUCGUAGUUUGCUUUACGCACGUUUAAUAUAUUAUCGUGGUCGUGGACACGUUCGCGUGACAUGGUUACUAUUUUAAAAACAAAACCAGAGUAUGCGUUCGCGCAACUUUGGUAAAACUUUUCUUAAUAAUAAUAAAGCAUUAUUAAUUAUGGACACAUUCGCAUGACAUGAUUUCUGACGGGCCAAACAAAUGGGUACACGUACGCGUGACCCGUUUCAAGAUAAUUUCUUAAUUAAAAAAGGCAAAUGCACAUAGGUUCUAAAAUGAGUAGUUAGACAAUUUAAUAAUCCAGGUAUAAUCAAAGCAACCGUGCUAGAAUCAUGGAACUCGGGAAUGCCUAACACCUUAUCUCGGGUUAAUAGAAUUCCUUACCCGGAUUUCUGUGUUCGCGGAUUAUAAAACAGAGUCAAUCUUUCCUCGAUUCGAGAUUUGAACCGCUAACUUGACACCACAAAUUAUCCCAAGUGGCGACUCUGAUUUUUAAAUAAAAUAAUUCCGUUUCAAUUGUCACUUAAAUUGAAAAAAAACCCGUAUACCCUUUACGGGGGGGGGGGGGGGGGGGGCUUUAGGUGCAAGUUUUGAUUAUAGAAGAUGAUGAAUAGUAAUUUGGUGGCAUUGGGCAAUGGAUGUAGUAACAUUAAUGACUUCGAAUGGGUAUUAAAAUAUAAGGAUGAAGUUGAAUGGUUUAGCUUAUAAAUUUAUUUGACGAUUUGAGUUGUUGGAGGCUUGUAGCCACUUUAUGAGCCAUAUAUGGAUAUUGCUUAAUAUCUUAGGUCAUAUUUUGAUGUAAUUAGGAUAUCUAAUUGUAGAUAUCAACUUGUUGGUGAUGUUGAGAUUUUUAAUCAACAGUGGAAUGAUGGAAGAGGAUUGAAAGCUUGUGAACAUUAAUAAAGCGCAAGCGAGGUAAGUUGAUUAAAACUUACUCUUCUUGAGGGACUUUCCCUAAAAGCAUGUUUCAAGUUAAUACUUAAGUUGUUUGAAAAUGUGCUUUCGUGCUUGUGGGGACAAACAAGUACGAAUGUCUCCAUGUACUAAAAUAUUAUGUUGGAUAUGUAGUGUCAUGCCGUUUUGUAAAAUUUUAUUUUAAAUCCUAUUGGCUAAAUGACACUCAAGGUAUAUGUUAUAAGAUUUUAUCAAAACUUAUGUAUUGACAAGAGUAUACAUAUUUGAGUACUAAAGAAAAGUUUUCAUGGAAAGUAUUUCUUUUGGAAAUUGAUGUGCAGACUAGCCCUUGUGGUAUCUUUUAAAGAUUGAUGUUAAAUUGCAAAAGGCUUUAGCAUGUAAAAGGUUGUUUAUUUAGUUUUUGUUCAAAUGAUUUAGAUUUUCUAUAAAUGCUAUAAUUUGAUAAAAAUAGAUCCUUUGAAGCUACUAUGCUGUGAAUCUAUUUUUUAAGUACCAAAUGUUUUGGGAGUUACUUGUGUUCGCCGAGAUUGACUUCGGAUAUAUUGUGUUCGUCGUCAUGAAACUACACAUGCCGAUGUAGGCGUAGAUAGCCACUUUGUGGUAUAGACUGUGGCAGAGUGCUCUCCCUCGAGAGAGUACUAUGUUGUGCUAUUAUUAGCAUGGUUGAGUCGAUUCGUACGACACUACGAUGAGACACUCUAAGCAAGUAGGGUAUAUGAUACUUUCCGCUAGGUACAUAACCUAGUUGACCUUCUUAUGUCGGUAAUGGUAUGGUACUCCCAGUGAAAGGUAAGGAUGAUUUUCUUAUGUUUAGGUCUAAGGAUCCAAAAGUGAUUUCAAUGACUUAAAGCAAAUGAAAUAAUUUUUUAUGAUUUUAUAAAAUCUUGGAUUAGUGUAAGCAUUUUAAAAGAUUAUAUUGUGGGUUAUAUUUCACUUGGCUUUGGUUCAAAACCACAAGGGUCAUGAAUUGAUAGAAUUUCUUAUCGUUUUAUUUCAAAUAUUGGUGCAUUAUUUUUAUAAAGUUUGUCCCAAGAACUUAAGUUAGCGAGAGUCUAUGAUACUUAUUGAGUACCGUUGUAGUGUACUCAUCCCUUAGGGGCCCCCUCUAGGGCCCUGCUUACUUUACAUGUUUCAGGAUGAUGUAUGAUACAUGGUAUGUGGUCAGGCCAGGAUGACUAUCUUUCCAAGGUAUUAUGAAGCACCACUUUUAUUUCGUGGUAGCUAUCAUGUUAUUCCUUAUUUUAUUUUAUUGGAACUUCUCCAACCGUUGGUUCUAUUCUUUGGUAUAGAGGCUCCAUAGAUAAUUAUGAAAGAUUGUAGUAACGGGAUUGUACACGACAUUCAUGAAAGUAUAUUUUACUUAGUCUCAUUGUUAUUAUUAUGAAAGGGCGUCAUGUGUGAUUUUGAAUUGGAAAAUAUUUUAUCAUUUAACUUGAAAAUGUAUAAGAUUUUCAAGGAGGUUCCGCAGUUAAAUUUAGUUUUCAUGCAUAUGAUUUGGGUGCAUCGCAUGGUUUGGUUCGCUCAGGUCGGGUAGUGUGCCAGGUGCCGGUCACGUGGUUUUGGGUCGUGACAAUUAUUUUGGUAUUUCCGAUGUUACUUGCUGUUUUCUUCCCUUAUUGUGAUUGUAGUAUCGUUAGCCAUUUUGUGCAGUCUUUAUAUAUACAUCAUGUUCCAUUGUUCCUAUAUUUGUACAAUUUAUUGGACCGGUAGGUGUCUUGACUAUUUCUCGUCACUACUCCACCGAUGUUAGUCUUGAUACUUACUUGGCAGCGCUGUGGUGUGCUCAUGCUACUCUUUUGCACAUUUUUGUUGUGCAGAUCCAGAUAUCGAUCAUUAGUAGUUGUGCGGGUCAUUGCUGAGGAGACUCAAGGUAAACCUGAUGCUGCGUUCGCAGGCUUCAGAGUCACAUUCUUACUUGUAUUCAACUGUUUUCACUCUUUUUCGAAUAGUUAUACUUAGAAGUGGUAGCUAACUCUGUAGAGCUUAUAACUUGUAUUAUUGGGUUUUGGGAAUUAUAAAUUUUGUAGAGAUUUCUGCUUCAAGACUAUUACAUUUCAUUUAUUAUUGUGGUAUCUCAGUAUGAAUUAGGCUUACCUAGUCCCUAAAACUAGGUGCCAUCACGAUACCCAAACGGAGGGAAAGUUGGGUCGUGACAACUAGCC